rnacentral:rRNA from 1 species
UACCUGCAGCUCGAGUGGUGAUCAUUAUUAUUGGGCCUAAAACGUCCGUAGCCGGUUUCGUAAAUGCCUGGGUAAAUCGUUUGGCUUAACCAAACGAAUUCCGGGUAGACUACGAGACUCGAGAUCGGGAGAUGCUAGAGGUACUCCUUGGGUAGAGGUGAAAUUCUGUAAUCCUGGGGGGACCACCAGUGGCGAAGGCGUCUAGCAAGAACGAGUCUGACGGUGAGGGACGAAGCUCUGGGGCGCAAACGGGAUUAGAUACCCGCGUA